UAGGGAAUCUUCCGCAAUGGGCGAAAGCUUGACGGAGCAACGCCGCGUGAGUGAUGAAGGUCCUCGGCUCGUAAAACUCUGUUAUUAGGGAAGAACAAAUGUGUAAGUAACUAUGCACGUCUUGACGGUACCUAAUCAGAAAGCCACGGCUAACUACGUGCCAGCAGCCGCGGUAAUACGUAGGUGGCAAGCGUUAUCCGGAAUUAUUGGGCGUAAAGCGCGCGUAGGCGGUUUUUUAAGUCUGAUGUGAAAGCCCACGGCUCAACCGUGGAGGGUCAUUGGAAACUGGAAAACUUGAGUGCAGAAGAGGAAAGUGGAAUUCCAUGUGUAGCGGUGAAAUGCGCAGAGAUAUGGAGGGACACCAGUGGCGAAAGCGACUUUCUGGUCUGUAACUGACGCUGAUGUGCGAAAGCGUGGGGAUCAAACAGG
rnacentral:rRNA from 1 species